rnacentral:tRNA from 1 species
AUUAAGAUGUCCGUAAGUUAAGGUGGUAAAUUGUAAAUUUACUUAUGAAUUUGAUUAUUCUCUUAAUA